rnacentral:rRNA from 1 species
AUUGAACGCUGGCGGCAGGCAUAACCCAUGCAAGUCGCGCGGAGCGGCAGACGGGGAAGUAAUGACUAGGAAUCUGCCUGGUAGUGAGGGAUAACGUCCAGUAACGGGCACCAUUACCGCAUAAUAUCAGUUUGACAUCGGUCGGAUUAGCUAGUUGGUGGGGUAAAGGCCUACCAAGGCGACGAUCCGUAACUGGUCUGAGAGUAUGAUCAGUCACACUGGAACUGAGACACGGUCCAGACUCCUACGGGAGGCAGCAGUGGGGAAUAUUGGACAAUGGGCGAAAGCCUGAUCCAGCCAUGCCGCGUGUGUGAAGAAGGUCUUCGGAUUGUAAAGCACUUUAAGUUGGGAGGCGUUACCAACAGAAUAAGCACCGGCUAACUUCGUGCCAGCCGCCGCGGUAAUAC